GGGGAAGGCUCUUUAUGCAUUGCUUAGCAGUGCGUAUGAAACUCAGGCUGCCCUUUUCUUUGUGCUUUCCGAUGGCCUCCAGGCAGCACCCAGAUGUAUUUUUAGCAUGCAGAAUAGGAGAGAAAUUGCAAGAAAUUGUGCAGAGAUUAAAUAAGCAAAGAAGUUGAAUCUGGCUAAAUCGUUGGAUUUAGUCCUGCACAGCUAUAAGAAGCAGAGAAUCCAUCUGAGCCUAUGCAGGAUGCUGCGCUAACGCAUCUUCAUCAUUACCACCGUGAAAGCAGCUCAGGGACAUCUGCACACCAUUUGUCACAUAGACAUCCUCCUGGAGUGUGUCGCCGAUCUCCAGAAAGCCUGAUGCUCAUGGGGUUAGUUGCCCUGUGACUUGCCAGUCCCAUGGUGGAGCAUCUCACCCUGACAUGCACCUUUGGACAUGUUACGCACUUCACCACCUCGCCUAUUUGUGAAAUGGAGUGACCCCACGGAUCCUGGGUGCUCUUUUGUAAAGAGCACACCAUGUAAAAGUGCUGGGGAAGAGCUAGUUAUGGAUACCAACAUCUUGCCAAAACAUCUGCUUGUAGGAAUGGCAAGGAAUCCUAACACCCAAUUAAGCAGGUAUGGGAUGAGACAAACUGCUUCCUGGCUGUACUGAAGCAUUCCCCUUUAAACAGCAGCAGGCUUUAAUUCUGGUUUAGCAGAGCCAUGCUUGUGACUGUCAUCCCAGCAUCGGCCUUUCCCUGCUGUGCUCGUGUUCCCCUGGAGCGACAGUGAUCUCGUGCUGCCUAGAAUAACUCUGGGUGGAGCAGCUUCCCUGGCUGGGGUCUGGAAGCUGUUAGAUUAAACUCUGACAUGUAGUUACAGACUCAGGAAUCGGUGGACAGAAUCUUAUAGAUGUGCAAGUGGCAUCCACUCUCUGGGGAAGGUAGGGAAACAUCUAUUAACAUCUGGAGCUGGACUGCAAAAUCCCCAGUGUGAACCAGACCUAAUAUUUUAUGUUAAGACACAUACCAAAAGGGGGAUGAUCUGAAAGGUGUACUGACAGAGGAAAAUGAAUGAGCUCUUGCUUCAGUUUGUUUGUUUCCAAAAAGGCCUCAGCGCUGUGGUUUGUUAGUGCAGUUUUUGUUUGGUUGGUUUUGCUGUAAUUUACAGAAAGGGAUUUCUCUGUUUUCACUUCAGAAAUUAGAAGUCUUAUCUUUGUUUGGCUGGAGGGUCUCUAAGGAUGAGUGGAGACAUAGCAGGAUUAUGACCUUGGUAGAUCAAAAGAUAAGUGAUCAGGAAAGGAAGGAUUAAUUCUUAAAUUGCUAGAAACUUACUGUUGCUUCUUAUCUCUUUAAUUCAAAUAUUAGAAAGAUACCUGGGGUGAGAACCUAGAUGUUUGUAAGAUUCAUGUAUCUCAUCACUUAAAAAAAAAAAAAAUAAUACCUACUUUUCUCUCUGAAAAAGUGAAGAGCAAAGAAGAAAGGAAAAAUGCCUUUAUAGUUCUCAAAUAGCAAACACAUUUUUCCAACUAAUUUUUAAGCCUCCAUUACACAAGAAGAGUAGGUGUAAAAUAUAUGUUUCCUUUACAGAGCACGUUUAAAUCAACUAAAUAAAUGUAGCUUUUCACCACACAAAUUGUCACUUAA